rnacentral:misc_RNA from 1 species
CCAAAGCCCCACCAUCACUCCCAAAGUCCCCCACCUAUAAAAUCCACCUCGCCAACGUCCGCCGCUCUCCUCCACUCCCGGCCUCUCUCUUGCGGCGGAGAGUCCCAAGCUCCAAAAAUGCAGACCGCAUCCUUCGCCGUCUCGCCCAGCACCCCUCUCCUCAAGGCCCGCCUCCCCUCACCGCCGAACCCUAAACCUAACCUCCGCCUCUACCCCUCCGCCGCCGUCGCCGCCGCCCUUGCAGCUCCGAUCCAUGGCCUCCCCCGCCUCCGCAUCUCGAUCUCAUCCCGCUCGUGUGGCUGGAUCUCUGAUCCGGCCCCCAGAGGCUUAGAUCGGACCGAGAGCGUCGUUGUCAGGGCUAGCGCCGCCGAUGUCGGCGAUGUCUCCGGCGACGGCGAGGCUACCGCGAAGUCCGGUGCGUUGUUGCAGACGCUGCAGCUCGGGUCGCUGUUCGGGCUGUGGUAUCUGUUCAAUAUCUACUUCAACAUCUAUAACAAGCAGGUUCUGAAGGUCUUUCCAUACCCAAUAACAAUCACUACACUUCAAUUUGCUGUGGGGACUGUCUUCACCUUACUCAUGUGGAUCACUACUAUCUACAAGAUACCUAAAAUAUCUUCUGCACAGCUUUUUGCAAUUCUUCCACUGGCUAUGGUGCACACCUUGGGCAACCUUUUCACUAACAUGAGCCUUGGAAAAGUUGCUGUUUCUUUCACGCACACAAUCAAAGCUAUGGAGCCUUUUUUCUCGGUUCUUUUGUCCGCCUUGUUCCUCGGAGAGUUGCCUUCAAUCUGGGUUGUAUCUUCUCUGGUGCCAAUUGUUGGUGGUGUGGCAUUGGCAUCCAUGACUGAAACUUCUUUCAACUGGGCUGGAUUUUGGGCUGCAAUGGCUUCCAAUGUUACCUUUCAAUCCCGAAAUGUACUGAGCAAAAAGCUCAUGAUUAAGAAAGAGGAGUCACUUGACAACAUCUCACUCUUCUCUAUAAUAACAGUCAUGUCACUCUUCCUCAUAGCCCCUGUGGCUCUAGUUGCCGAGGGAGUUAAAAUAAGUCCGGCACAUUUGCAGUCCCUUGGUUUGAAUCUCAAGGAGGUGUAUACGAGAUGCCUCAUUGCUGGGAUUUGUUUCCAUGCAUAUCAACAGGUUUCCUAUAUGAUACUGGCUAAGGUAUCACCAGUAACCCAUUCCGUAGGCAAUUGCGUGAAGCGUGUGGUUGUUAUUGUGACCUCGGUUCUCUUCUUCAAGAUUCACGUAACAGCAAUUAAUUCUCUAGGAACGGCUGUGGCUCUGGCUGGAGUUUUUCUUUACUCUUCGGUGAAGAAAAUCAAGGCCAAGUCAACAUGAGUAUGUUCUUCCAGUUCUGGCAUGCUAUUGCCUCAUUUUCAUGUAGUGUGGAGUAUUGGUCUUUGUAGGGACCUAGGUAUCUGUUUCCUUCAGUAGUUCGGAAUUGGAAUCAAG